rnacentral:rRNA from 1 species
GAUGAACGCUGGCGGCGUGCCUAAUACAUGCAAGUCGAGCGAACAGAUGAGGAGCUUGCUCCUCUGACGUUAGCGGCGGACGGGUGAGUAACACGUGGAUAACCUACCUAUACGACUGGGAUAACUUCGGGAAACCGGAGCUACUACCGGAUAAUAUAUUGAACCGCAUGGUUCAAUAGUUCAAGACGGCUUUGCUGUCACUUAUAGAUGGAUCCGCGCCGCAUUAGCUAGUUGGUAAGGUAACGGCUUACCAAGGCAACGAUGCGUAGCCGACCUGAGAGGGUGAUCGGCCACACUGGAACUGAGACACGGUCCAGACUCCUACGGGAGGCAGCAGUAGGGAAUCUUCCGCAAUGGGCGAAAGCCUGACGGAGCAACGCCGCGUGAGUGAUGAAGGUCUUCGGAUCGUAAAACUCUGUUAUUAGGGAAGAACAUAUGUGUAAGUAACUAUGCACGUCUUGACGGUACCUAAUCAGAAAGCCACGGCUAACUACGUG